UGCAAGUCGAGCGCCCGCAAGGGAGCGGCGGACGGGUUAGUAACGCGUGGGAAUGUACCCUUUUCUACGGAAUAGCCUCGGGAAACUGAGAUUAAUACCGUAUACGCCCUUCGGGGAAAGAUUUAUCGGAGAAGGAUCAGCCCGCGUAAGAUUAGAUAGUUGGUGGGGUAAUGGCCUACCAAGUCUACGAUCUUUAGCUGGUUUGAGAGGAUGAUCAGCAACACUGGGACUGAGACACGGCCCAG
rnacentral:rRNA from 1 species